rnacentral:tRNA from 1 species
GGUGUAGCUCAGUUGGUUAGAGCGCCUGACUGUGGCUCAGGAGGUCGCGGGUUCGACUCCCGUCAC